GACGAACGCUGGCGGCGUGCUUAACACAUGCAAGUCGAACGGAAAGGCCUUUUCGGAGGUACUCGAGUGGCGCACGGGUGAGUAACACGUGGGUGAUCUUGCCUGCACUCUGGGAUAAGCCUGGGAAACUGGGUCUAAUACCGGAGAGGACCGCGCUGUAGUGUGUGUGGGGGAAAGUGUUUUCGGUGUAGGAUGAGCGGGCGGCCUAUCAGCGUGGUGGUGGGGUAGUGGCAUACCAAGGCGGAGACGGGUAGCCGUACUGAGAGGGUGGGCGGCCACAGUGGGACUGAGAGACGGCCCAGGCUCCGACGGGAGGCAGCAGUGGGGAAGAUUGAACCAUGGGCGCAAGCCUGAUGCAGCUACGCCGCGGGGGGGAUGGCGGUCUAAGGGUUGGAAAUGCAUUUCGCCAGGGACCAAGCGUUUUGUGACGGUACCUGGAGAAGAAGCACCGGCUAACUACGUG
rnacentral:rRNA from 1 species